rnacentral:rRNA from 1 species
AUACAUGCGGGCUGGACACCCCCCGCUGGGCACUGCUUCACGGCGUGCGCGGCGGGGCCGGCCCUGCUGAAUUAUUCACCCGUGUCUUUUGCGUACUUCUUGUUUCCUGGGUGGGCUCGCCCGCCCUCAGGACCAACCACAAACCUUUUGCAAUAGCAAUCAGCGUCAGUAACAACGUAAUUAAUUACAACUUUCAACAACGGAUCUCUUGGUUCUGGCAUCGAUGAAGAACGCAGCGAAAUGCGAUACGUAGUGUGAAUUGCAGAAUUCAGUGAAUCAUCGAAUCUUUGAACGCACAUUGCGCCCUUUGGUAUUCCAAAGGGCAUGCCUGUUCGAGCGUCAUUUGUACCCUCAAGCUUUGCUUGGUGUUGGGCGUCUUUUGUCUCCAGUUCGCUGGAGACUCGCCUUAAAGUCAUUGGCAGCCGGCCUACUGGUUUCGGAGCGCAGCACAAGUCGCGCUCUUUGCCAGCCAAGGUCAGCGUCCAGCAAGCCUUUUUUUUUCAACCUUUGACCUCGGAUCAGGUAGGGAUACCCGCUGAACUUAAGCAUAUCAAUAAGCGGAGAAAA